GCAAGGAAAUCUGGCGCGGUUCAAUAGCUCAUCUAGCCUGGGUUCCAGUAUCUUUUUUUUUUUUUUUUUAACUGACAAACUCAUUUCUCUACCGGGACAGAAUGUUGUGCUGCUGGAAGUUCCAUUUCUACAGCAAGAAUCCUAUCUGGAAACACAGAAGUUGUCCUCUAGCCACAGCAGCUUGAACUUUUUUGAUUGUUGUUGCUGCUUUCUCUCACCACCCCCACCCCCUUUUGACAAAGAUCCAACUGUAAAAAGUCUUACGUAACAGUUCAGGACUACUUCGGUUCUUUUACUGGAACAGAAGCUUUUUAUACACACCCCAUAAGGCAGCUGGAGAGAGUUAUGAAGUCAGUUAUUAUAAGGAACACAAACGUUGCUCUGCAUUCUCUGCCUUUAGGUAACUAAUUUUGUAUUUGUUUUCUUAAAAUGGAAUAUUUAAAGAAGGAAGAAAUCCACAAAAGAAUAAACUGUUGGGAGAAUCUAGCAAA